CCCCUAACCUUGUCCUCAUUACUCACUGAGUGCAAGGUUUCAGCAAGACACAGUCACAAGGCAUAUAGAAUAGAUUAUACCCCAACACAGUCAGAAUUGGAGACAUUUUAUUGCUAUUUCGUUUGUGCAAUAAAAUAAUGUGGGGAUUUAUUUAAUACUACAGGAGGAGAACUGCAAAUAAAGAUUUGGACAUGAGAUAAUGUGUGUUAAAGAGAGAAAAAUAAAACAGGUGGAUGAAGAAUAAGCAGUUUAGUUUGCAGUUUAACAUUCUAGAACCAAGACAUUUUUUUGGCCCUAUUCGAAAAUUUCAUACGUAUGAUAAAAAAAAAAAAGUGUACCUCUGCAACCAUAAGGUCAAUUUGAAUGAUGUGGGUGUCAUAAUAAAAGGAACUCUUUCAUCCAGAUGUGUAAAUGUAGAAAAAUAUAGAAAAGUUUCACCUUAAAUAAAAAGCACAUUUAGGAUGAUUAUCUGUCUGCAAGUAUAAUAUCAUGGCUCCAAACCAACACAUUUGAGAUUAUUGUAGUACAGACAGAAUUUCCAGAACUUUGGUUUGGUGUAUCACAAAUAGUGUUUAACAGAUCUCAUACAUUAGGUGAAGCUAUUUUCUUUUGUUAAAUUAACUCAGACUGUGUAUUUAGGAUUAAAAAUAUUUUUAAAAACCUGUCAACUCUAGAUGAAAUGUCUUUACGCAGGGCAACUCCUCGGCAAAGUAUUUUGCCACCUUAUUGGAAUCCCAACCAGGAUCAACAGAGCAGUUUCAUGGGGAAAGUCGGGCUGGCGAACCAUAGGGUUUUCUGAUACAUAACCUUUGAACCUUCCAUCAAAGAACAAAAACUUCUAGAAGUAUGAAUCAAAAGGUUUGGACACACUUUCUCAUUGAAUUGAAUGAAAAAGUCUGUCACAAAACAGAACCUUAAAUCAAUGUGGUCAAUAGAAUAGUAAUACUACCGAGCGGAAGAGCAAAAUCAAGGAAAAGGAAUACGCCACACUGAAAAUAGCCAAGCAAAGUGGACUCUAUCAUCAAAUAUUGAGCACCUUUCCGUAGAUGUCCUGGUAGGUAUCUUUUUUGCCACCAUUGGAACUACAUCAGUGGCAAAGGUCAAAGCACAUCACGAACCAUGCCUGUCUUUAUGCUGUCAUUGCAGCCUGUGCACUGAAAUCUUUCUUGGAAAAAAAUGGACCUGCCGGUGUCCUUUCGAAUUUAAAAAAGAUUCCAAUCUCUUCGGACAGAAACCUUUGUCGCUUAUUCUGCUAACUAGCUGUCAAAAGCUGAGGGAAUCAUUUAUUCUGUGUGAGAAAUGGUCCCUCAGAGUGUUAGAGACUCAUGAGUUAUUAAACAAAGAAUCCAUUGAUUAUUGAUUGCAGAUCCUUUAGCACAUCUCAGUUUUCAAUGUCAAAAGAGCUUUGGAGAUUCUAGGUCAUUGUAGCUCUUCGGAGAUUCUCUUUGAUAUUCAGGGUACCACUUUCUCAGUGACACAAGACACCGCACAAUUAAUUACUCCAGCCAUAUUGUUUAAUUCAAACCAAAAAGGAAUUUAUUUCUGAGAGGUGUGUUCCUUGUCUAGAUGGUUGGCAUGUCCAGACAACAUUAGCAAAUUAAAUAUGUCACACCAAAUGAUCCUAUAAUUUAAAAUUAGUAUUAGGCAGAGUAUGAAAUGUAUUAUAUAAUUUGGGUCCUAGGUCUAGGAGCAGAAGAAGGCUUUGAUGGUAAACCAAUAUUAUGUUGCCUCUUUUUUGUUCUGCUACAGCAUGCAGAACCGUAUCAAUGGUCUGUAUUCAACGUAUGGUAUUUCACAGAGUCAAUCCUCUGUAUUAUCUUUAGAAUGAUGCCAAACAAUACAUAUUUUUCUGGUUACAUGCAAAUAUUUUAUUCCCAAAUAAACACUGCAAACCACUUCAUUCUUGAUGUGUGUUUUUUUUUUUUAAAUGACUGGUUUUGGAUUAAAGGACUAGAGGAAGUUGUGUAAAUUACAUUACAAAUAGAUCAAUGCCGACUACUGAUUUCCAACCUGACAGACAGAGUGGUCUCCUGGGGUGAAGUGUUUUUGACCAACACCUGACCAGUGUUAUCAGAUUUGGCUCAUUGUUGUCCAGGUAGCAUUUGAUUAACAGUGUUUCCCACAGAUCCAACGUCAAUGUGUGGGCGCUGACGGUGCGACAAACAUCGUACUAAAACUCACAUCGCUAUAGGACUAUACACAGUUCACACUAUAUACAACUCCCAUAGCUGUAGUACACAUUUCACACCCUACACUACUUGUUGUUACAGCCUACAGGCGCAAAGUCUGCAACUUCUGUCAGAGCAACGGAUUUUGCGGGGCGUAGACAGACGUGGUGUGGGGAGGGGACGUUGUGUGUGUAUGAGAGACGCGUGAGAAACGGAGGAAGAGCAGGGAAAGGAAAUGCAGCUGAACGAAUACGCUGCAUGAUUUAAAUAGCGUUAAAAAAGGGUUUUUGCCAAAAUUUGGUGGAAAUCAGAGAAUAUAAAUCAACACAAAUGUUAUGUUCAAAAAAAGUUAUGAAAAUGCACCACGUUAUUCUGUAAAAUCUGUUUCAUAUUUGUUAGAUUUGAAGAUAUUGCAUUGAUAUGAGUAGUAUUCUGUAACCAUUCGGAGAGGGUGUAGUUGUUGUGGCUGCUGACAUUUGGAUUUGUUUGAUUAUGGUCUCUGGACAUUGAUAGCAUAAUUAUUUUUAAUUUGUUCUGUUGCACAUGUAAUAGUUCUACAUGUGGUUCUAUCCAAACAUUCAUUCGAAAACUCCACUCAGUUUGCAGGCUAGAUUACAUUCCCACCUAUGUAUGCUAACAAAUAAAUGCUCAGAUGGGGACGGACAAUUGAAAAAUUCUGAUGUUUAGUGGGUUUAUGGUUUCUAAUCUUCAUUAUCUAGUGUGGCUGGUUAACAAUGGCAGGAGUAGGCUUGCAGCUGAGCUGUACAACUUGCUUUGCUAAAAACAUGUUCAGAGUACAGUCUGGUCUUUGUUGCACACACACAAAAAGGUUUCAGACCAUAUUGCAAAGAUGGUAAAACUGCUUGAGGACAGGUUGACUGCCCCGGACAGCAGGAUAACAGUCACUAUGAGGCAUGGGGAAUGUGCUUGAAGUGCCAGAUGGAAGCAGGCAAGAAAAUAGUUGCCUGCUGCCAUGGCGGCUCAAACACCUGUUCUGAGCGUGAUUAAUUGGCUCAGGACAGGUUAAGUGACACAGAGAGAGGAAGAGAGAAAGAGAGAAAUAUUGGUGGCCAGAGCAAAGAAGACCUACCUGGGGAUGGUAAAAUGGUCGUUCCUCUUCUCCUACAUCGAAGUUAAUUAGUUUUAUGCUGCGUGUGUGUUAACGUGAAGCUGAUAUGCGUACAUAACUGAAUAUUGUACAUGCGAGGUGUGAGGACUAGGACUGCAACUAACGAUUAUUUAAAUUAAAAAAAUAGCAUUAAAAAGCUUUAAAUUCCAACCUUUAAUUCUAAAUUCAUAUUGCAAAAAAUGCUUCAGAAAGUACAGGUUGCUGCUUGAACAUAAUCAUUCAUAAAAAGAAAAAUACAAAUCAGAAAAUUCAAAAGGAUUUGUUUCAACGUCAAAACUUGUUCUCUAUACCACACUCAAACACAUCCUCAUUUUCACUUGAAGCUUAUUCAUUAAAUUAUUACCAUCAUUUUAGUGCAAGUAAAUGUACACACCCCAUCUAAGUACAGCUGAAGACAACCAAGUGCUAUGAGAUGAAUUCAAAAUGGCAUUCGUAAAUGAAUGCAUUAGAGGCUUCUUAGUUAGCCACGCUGGUUUAAUGGAUCACCGUGUCUCCCUUUACAAGCGUAACAUCAACUACCGUACAACCCACAGUAUGUGCACAAGCGCACUGGACUACUGUAAAUGACAGCAUUAAAAAGUACAACAUAAAAAUAUUUAUGUCAACAAUAACCAAUAUGGGACAAACUUAUACAACAAAAUGAAUGGUCCAAAAGAGGCGAGUAAAUAAAAACGUGUCUUAGUCUUGCUAACUGCGGUUAUUAGCGAGCUAACGCUAGCUUGAGCUAGCAUCAGCUGGAUGACAAGUAAACAAGAGGCUCCUUACGUUCCUCACUUCAAAACGAGACAACGUGGAGCUCCCGUGCCAGAUUACGUAGACUUUGCAUAUUUUGCCAUUGGCACACGUUCAGGGUUCUCACGUGUCACGCAUUGAGCGUGACAGUCACUCAUUUCGGUCUUCAGUAGCGCACUCACACCUUGGACGACUAGUCGAACAGACGUCUCUGCCAACGCUUUUAAUAAUCGAAUUUUAGCGAUUUCAUCAAUUCGUUGUUGCAGCCCUAGUGAGGACCAACCUCUUUACGGGGUUAUUUUGUCCUGUAGCAUCACUGGAGGCCAAAACACAGCCUUUGUUUCAUGCCAUGAUGGGAGCACAUCACCAGUCUGUUGUGUAAAGGACCUGUGAGUGUUUAUAUGUGUAUGGCAGACGAGCAAUGGGGGUAUUUUUUCAUGACAUUUUUAUCCCAUCUCUAUUCAAAAGUGUGUUCUUUCAAUUUCAGAUCAGGUCUUAUUGAUGUAACUUGAGAUCUCUUUGAAAAGCCAAAUAGCUCCUGCUUGCGAAUAAAUUUGCCUCAUCUUGGGCGCAUUUGUUACAUUUUAGAGCAUUUCAAGACAGGCUGACACUCUUUGAACUGGUCCUCCAAGGCUUUUUUUUACGUGAGCCCCUUGUUUUCACACACAGACUGAAGCAUCCUGUGUGAGGAGAAGGGCUGAAGCUGGAGUUCAGGAAAUCUGUGCAAGCAGAGUUUUUGCUGGAAAGCAAUACAAAGUACGGUCUGGAAGUGAGUUAUCUCGAAUAAAGAUUCAAUAAACACGUUAUUAUUUCCCUCUUUAAGAGUGGAACGGGAGUUAGAGAAAACAUUCCAUUCUAAAAAAUGCGGGGUUUUCUUCUAUUUUUAGUUUUACCUUUUUUCUGCUGUGUGAGGCAGUAGUUCCCCUCUUUUAGCUUUUCUAACAUCCUUGCUGACGGUUGGAGAUUCCGUCGCCCCUUUGUCCUUUCUGACUAGUCCCCAGUCACACACCCAUUUGGAGAGCCUGUUAAGAUCGGUAGAGAUGUUGUUGAACACAAUGCCACGCCAGCCUGGAAAGAAGAAGAUGGAUAAAUAAGUAACAGGAGGAGAGCGAUAAGGACAAAAAAAAGAUACAUGAUGGUUUGAGGGGAGAUAGCCACAGGGUUUCAUAUAAGAGAGGGAUAAUGAGGUGUAAUUGUUGCAGUACAAAAUGUUUAUAUACACAUUCCAUUUACGCAUAAUAUGGUGCUAGAUGCGUAAUCUUAUAAAAAACACUACGGAAACAAAAACAGAAAAGUGUGUGCACGUAUACAGUACAUAAAUACAUACACAAGAUAUACGUGACCAACGUCACUUCUAUCAGGAAGACACUCGCCACACUUGUCAUUUACAAUCUCAGUCUCCAAUUAUCCCUGCAAUUACUCCAUAAACUGAUUAGGGGGUGUGCACUUUAAAAUUAACCCAUCAGAUUCUGCGCAGUUUCCUCAAGCCAAUCACGUCGUUGUUGCCAAUAUAGCUUGUCCUCUCUGUUGCUGUUAGUUGUGAUUGCAGCUCAAAAUAAAUGCAACCCUCUUCUGCCCCAGCCUCCUCCAAUCAGCAUCAUUCACGCUCCUCAUUCAUCAUCAGGUCACAGCAACUUUCUUCACCACCAGUCUCUCCAGGGUCAAUUCUGCCAGAUACCAGCAUCACCAGCCCUUGCUUAUCCUAACGCAGGAUGGAGUCCAAUCAGCAGAGAAUUUGUACUUCUCAAAUGUUAUGCAAAUGUAAUCAUUGUUAAACUCUGUAACUCUAAGUCCUUUAUACCUUCGCUUUAACUUUUCUCUAGUUUUUUAUUUUAAUGUCAGAAUGUGACAGAGGUUGUUAGCUGUCUAAAAUGAGCCUUGACUGGCCAAUCUCAACCUUAUCAUUUUGUUGACCGCUACUUUAUUGGUUGCUACCUGUGAUGACGUUAUCAAUUAUUUCAUGGAUUUUCUGUUGUUAAAAAUUAGAAAACCAGAAAAUUAUCCCUGUUGGAAUACAUUGUGUCUAUUUAUCUUGAUUUGGCAGCAUUCCCUCUCCAUGCUCUGUAAAUGCUCACUUUUAGUUAAUGAUAAAUAAGCUUAACUGGAUAUGAGCUCAUGAUUGCCUUCUAUUUUUACUCCAGUUAAAUGUGAAGAGUAAGACUUUCUCUCUCAUUUGAACAUUCGAGUUGUAUUGUUGUGGAAAAAAGGUAUAAUACAUCGUAAUAAUCAGAUGAUGCCUGAAAAACUAAUAUCUGCAAGAUGGAAUGCUGCAGAAACAAAGUACUAGUAUUAUUCUUCCUGUAUGGGCAUAUCAAUGAAGCGGUUAGUAGCUAUAAUUUUAAAUAGGAUAGAAAAAUUGGACAUGAAUUAGAGAGAAUAAACACUUUAAACAGAUUAAAGAAGACAUUGUCAUAAAAAACAAUUGCAAUUGGUUGAAUUGGUGCUGUAUUGGACUGUGAGGAAAGAGCUCAGCUUGGAAGCAAAACUCUUGAUCAACUUUCAAUCUAGGUACCGAUUGUUGACUAUGGUGCUGACCUUUGGGUAAGGACACAAAAUACACGUUCUCAGGGUAGAUGGGCUCACCAUCAGUGACAGUGCACAACCACUGCACUGCCUUGAAAGGAGUCAACUCUGGUAGUUUGUGUCUACCAGCCAUGCACGACGGGGCAAAAUCCCAAGUGCUCCUAACAUUCUGUGACCAACGCACGGUGACAUCGUUUAGUGUCUCUAAUUGAUGCACAUCACUUUCAACUAACUGCUGGUAUAAAGUCCAGGAUGACCGUUUGGGUGUAUGUGGAGGUCAAACAAAAACAGGACUCUCACCAACUUUACUUUUUUUGAAGACAUAGUUACUGGAAGUAAAUAUUAAAGCUCCUAAAGGGGAAUAAGGGAAACCAUAUAAAAUUAUCUAUUGGUUCAAUUUCUCUUAAAUUCAACCACCUACAAUCCUCUUCGGUAAACAUUGUUCUUUACGGAUUUAAGAUCCAUUAUCAUGACAGACAUAAUUCUUAAAACUGCACCGAUCCUCCUAUAAACAUGACGGUAUCAGUGCGGCUUGCACUGUUAUUUAAAAAAAUGAAGUUAGUCGGUUUCUGAAAAAAAACUAAACUAGGAUCUACUACUUGGCCAACAAUGACCACACACACCCAGACACAUGUUGAUCUUCUCAUCUGUAUUUGGGUAAGACAUGAAAUGAAUAUUUCCCAUGAUGUGAAUCAUGUUUAGAAAACCAAUAGCGUUCUUUGGUAAAAUGUUUUUAUUAUUGUGCACUGUCCCUUAUCAAAUAAACAAAUGCAUAAAUACAUGUGGUAUAGCCAGGCACUAUCAUAAUCCAAAAAAGAAUCUGUUGAGUAUGUUAAUGACCCAAUAGUUUUAGGCUGCAUGUAAUUUUACACUGUGCAUUAUCCUUCAAGAUGCUAGUUAUCGGAUGGCCCGACAAACAAAGACAUGAUUUAGAAUUUUUUAAUUUGAACAAAACUGAUUAUGCUGAUUAUGAUUUCAAAUACACGAAAGCUACUACUUUCACUGUGUUCGCAAUUGGUGAAGUGACUUCAUUUCUGACUGAAGCAGCUAUAUGCUGUUCGGACAUGUCUGUGUCAGUAUUAGAUUAGCCUCCACGCCUCGCCCUUUAGACAAGAGUGUGUUUGCUCCCGCUGUAAUGCCGUUAUCUCCCUCUCUCUCCCCCUUCUAAUCUGGACACCACAAGUAAGCGCUUCUGACAAGAGCUGUGCACAAAUUGAAUUUUUCUUCCCCUAUCCCUUUCGAUUUAUAAUUCCCUCUCCCGCCCUACAAGCAAACUCAAUUUCUGACCCUUUAGACAAAAGGCUCAGAUAAAGCAAUUAGUUGAAGAUUCUGUGUGAGCUCCUGGCUCGGCUGACCUGCAUGGGAGUGUGAAGCACUAGGAGCAGUACAAACAGGGGCGAUGACAGUUUCACCUCCUUGGAGAUGAACUCAAGAGUCACUGGAAACAAAAGAAGGUAAACUUAAAAGGAUAAGCAUUCCAGAGUCCAGACAGCCGCACCUAUAGGGCUCAACUGCAGAUCUUUGAUCACUGCUAUUUUGUUUUGAAGCUUCUAUGGGAGCACAGGUUGUUCCAAUUUUUCACUUCACUUUCAGACUCUCGGGUGACAAUUUAUACUUUAGUGCUAAAAGGCAGGCUUAGAUGAGGUCAAUACUCUUUGAGAUGAAGUGCACAAAGCCGAGGAGUGUGUGAAUUUUUUUUGCAAUCCAAUGAAGAAUGCAUAUAAAAUAUUAGUACAGAGAGCAUUACAAAUAAUAAAUACAUAAUUUACAUCAACGGGUUAUUGUAUUUUUGAUAAAUACAAGAACCACUGUUGUUUUAUUUUCUUUGUUAUGUCCAUUGUCCCUUCUUUCAUAACAGUACUGACCAAGCAACAUUGUACAGAGUUGGGGAAAACCAAAAGGUAAGGUAUUUGAGCUUUUGGACAGUUUUUAAAGUCACCCUGGCCAUAUCUCUAGCGUAAGAAUUCAAUUUGGCCAUUGCAGGGAAGACCUGAAACCCGUUAAAGCGGAUUUAGAGUGAAAUACAUGGCCUGGGAGAUUCUUUAAGAAAUAUAGUUAUCUUGCAGUCUGGCUGAGGAGAUAUGGAUGCAGCAGAACUGAUGAGGUUCUCAGUCAUUAUCUUCUGUGGGACAGCAUGGGUUUAUUGUAUUCAACCUCUUAUCACUAUAGUUUCCCUUAGGGAAAGACUUUUAUUUUCCAAUCAGUCGUGUAGUUCCACAGGUGUAUGAGAUGGUGCCAUAUUUGAUUGUUGCAUGGUGUACUACUAAAAUAAUAACCCUGGUUUUAACAGUGAUAUAUAGUAUAAUUUACUGUAAGAUGAAUAGCUUUGGUGAUGAAUAAAUGUUUUCACUGUCAGCCUCCACCUCUCUCUGGGAGUACCGUCCGUGUCAGUGCCAGUCAGUAGGCAAAAUCCACACAGAUGUUGUUUAAAUUGAUCCUCACAGUGCAAAUCCUGCUGGUUCGGUGUUCUCU
ensembl:lncRNA